rnacentral:rRNA from 1 species
AAAACUACGGUCUCAGUUCAGAUUGCAGGCUGCAACUCGCCUGCAUGAAGUUGGAAUUGCUAGUAAUCGCGAAUCAGAAUGUCGCGGUGAAUACGUUCCCGGGCCUUGUACACACCGCCCGUCACACCAUGAGAGUUGGGAAUACCCGAAGCCUGUGAGCUAACGUAAGAGGCAGCAGUCGAAGGUAGAAUCAAUGAUUGGGGUGAAGUCGUAACAAGGUAAC